rnacentral:rRNA from 1 species
UUAUUUAAAAUUUAAAUUUAAAAAUACUAAAAUAGUAUAUAAUUAUUUAUUGAAACUUAAAUGUUUGGCGGUAUUUUAGUUUAUUUAGAGGAAUCUGUUUAUUAAUUGAUAAUCCACGAAUAAAUUUACUUAAUUUAUUAUUUUGUAUAUCGUUGUUAAAAAAAUAUUUUUUAAUAAUUAAUAAUAUUUUAAAAUUAAUAAUUAAAAAUUAAAUCAAAUCAAGAUGCAGAUUAUAAUUAAGAAUAUAAUGGAUUACAAUAAAUUUAUUUAAAUGGAUUUUAUUUUGUAAUAUUUAAAUAAAGGUGGAUUUAAAUGUAAUUUUAUUUAAUUUAUUAAAAUGAUUAAAAAUUAAAAUAUGUACAUAUUGCCCGUCGCUUUCAUAGAUAAAUUGAAAUAAGUCGUAACAAAGUAGAGGUACUGGAAAGUGUUUCUAGAAAGAUCA